GAUGAACGCUGGCGGCGUGCCUAAUACAUGCAAGUCGAGCGAAUGGAUUAAGAGCUUGCUCUUAUGAAGUUAGCGGCGGACGGGUGAGUAACAUGUGGGUAACCCGCCCAUAAGACUGGGAUAACUCCGGGAAACCGGGGCUAAUACCGGAUAACAUUUUGAACCGCAUGGUUCGAAAUUGAAAGGCGGCUUCGGCUGUCACUUAUGGAUGGACCCGCGUCGCAUUAGCUAGUUGGUGAGGUAACGGCUCACCAAGGCAACGAUGCGUAGCCGACCUGAGAGGGUGAUCGGCCACACUGGGACUGAGACACGGCCCAGACUCCUACGGGAGGCAGCAGUAGGGAAUCUUCCGCAAUGGACGAAAGUCUGACGGAGCAACGCCGCGUGAGUGAUGAAGGCUUUCGGGUCGUAAAACUCUGUUGUUAGGGAAGAACAAGUGCUAGUUGAAUAAGCUGACACCUUGACGGUACCUAACCAGAAAGCCACGGCUAACUACGUGCCAGCCGCCGCGGUAA
rnacentral:rRNA from 1 species